UAGCAGUAAAGGAUGCGGGCUGGGUGUCAGGCGCCCUUCGAGAGCGCCUAGUGCCGUAGGGAAGCCGUUAAGCCCGCCGCCUGGGAAGUACGGUCGCAAGGCUGAAACUUAAAGAAAUUGGCGGGGGAGCACUACAAGGGGUGGGACCUGCGGUUU
rnacentral:rRNA from 1 species